rnacentral:lncRNA from 1 species
GGCAUUACAAACUGGAUCUUUAUCUGACACGAUAAAGUGUUAGAAUUUUCUAUUUAUGAUCAUUUGAUAAUAAUUCUAACAUAUUCUGUCCCAACCAAAUGUUUUGAUGAAAUAAGAUAUGAUAAUACAAUUUCUCUCUUAAAGAUCUUGAAUAAUAAUUUUGAAUAAUAUUUGAGUUAAAAACAAGAAUGUUAAGAUAUAAAAAAAAC